rnacentral:tRNA from 5 species
GGGGCGCUCGUCUAGCGGUUUGCAGGAUACUUGGCUUUCAACCAAGUGAGCGGAGUUCGAGUCUCCGGCGCCCUUCCA